CUCCACCUCCUCCCGUGUCCUCCUUGUCCUCCUCCGCCCGGGACUCUUGAUGCUGGCGUCUUCUGUCCGGGCAGCUGAUGUUGAUACCGGUGAAUUAUUCAACGCAUUCACAGUCGAGACAGAAGAUGAGUCCUGAUCCAGUUUCACACGCGAGUAUGUGGCCCCCCAUUCCUCUGGUGGUGCCGCAGGUUGGGCUUGGCCACAUCAAUACAGAUGAUUGGCAUCGGCAUUUCCAACCUGGUGGUGGGCCAGCUACUGGGCACCAAGUCUAGGGGAGCACUCUCAAUAAGAUGACUAAGAGGUCAGCUGCAGACAGAGAACCGCUGAUGAACGACGAGAGAGAAGAGACAGAGGAGAUUAACGAGGUUCCUUCUAUCAACAGGACCUAAAGGAAUCACUCACACUC